rnacentral:rRNA from 1 species
UACGGAGGGUGCGAGCGUUGUCCGGAAUCACUGGGCGUAAAGGGCGCGUAGGCGGCUUGGGAAGUCUGUGGUGAAAGCUCAGGGCUCAACUCUGAGUCGGCCAUGCGAACUGGGAGGCUUGAGCACUGUAGAGGCAGGUGGAAUCCGGGUGUAGCGGUGGAAUGCGUAGAGAUCCGGAAGAACACCGGUGGCGAAGGCGGCCUGACUGGGCA